rnacentral:rRNA from 1 species
CCUACGGGAGGCAGCAGUGGGGGAUAUUGCACAAUGGGGGGAACCCUGAUGCAGCGACGCCGCGUGGGUGAAGAAGCGCCUCGGCGCGUAAAGCCCUGUCAGCAGGGAAGAAAAUGACGGUACCUGAAGAAGAAGCCCCGGCUAACUACGUGCCAGCAGCCGCGGUAAUACGUAGGGGGCAAGCGUUAUCCGGAUUUACUGGGUGUAAAGGGGGCGCAGGCGGCGAUGCAAGCAAGGAGUGAAAGCCCGGGGCUUAACCCAGGGACUGCUCUGGAAACUGCGUGGCUGGAGUGCAGGAGGGGCAGGCGGAAUUCCUGGUGUAGCGGUGAAAUGCGUAGAUAUCAGGAGGAACACCGGUGGCGAAGGCGGCCUGCUGGACUGCAACUGACGUUGAGGCCCGAAAGCGUGGGGAGCAAACAGGAUUAGAUACCCGAGUAGUC